AUCCUACUUCCGCUAAGCAUACUACAUAGGUCAAAAAAGACCCCCCACCCCAAUAUAGUACACUCGAGGUCUGCUCGGAAGCCAAACGGGUUUGACAGACAUCUCAGUCGUUCUACAUUUCCAAGCAAAAACAGCCCACCCUGUGUGAACUGCAGCUGUGGUGUAGCUGACUGACUCUCCUGAACUUCUGCUCUUUGGUCUUUCUGCUGUGGAGAUGAUCCUGCUUUAGUCUCAUCAGACCUGUGUGUGGAGAAAAAUCACACAGAAAAGCAGACGCUCGACAAACCAUCGACCAGUAAAACAACGCCGUGCUGUGAAGUCGCCGGAAAGGCGUUCCUGCUAUUGGUUGCCAUGCAUUUCCUGCUUCCUCUCCCAGUCAGCCAAGGACAACACAAUGGUGUCGUGAUGGGUCGUGGAAGUGGACAGGGCUUCCGUCAUACCAGAGGAUGAGUGCGGGGUCAGUGGGGUCACCGUUUCCUCCAGGAUCCG